UAGUCCUGCUUUUCCACGUGCUGCCUGUGGCAUUGUGAGCAUGGAUGACAUAAUUUACUUAUUUGGUGGAAGAAAUGAAGAAUACUUUUUGAAAACCGUGGAGCGUUUUGACAUACAACGCAACGAAUGGCGUGAAGUUGCUGUUAUGCCAAAUAGUCAUCAGUGUUCACACCUUAAAGCAUCAUUGCUAACACUACCCAGAAAGUUUAUAUCAUAAGUAAACAUAGCAUACAUUCACCUGGAUGAAGGGUGUGGUACAAGAAAGGUAUGCAGUGUGUGUUUACAUGAUUUUUAGUUGAUUGUACAUUGUAACCUUUGGUUUUACUUUUAAAUUUUGCACCUUAUGUCUCCUAGCAAUGGUGAGUAAUUCUCUAGUCACAACUAAUUCAAAAAAAUUUCCUUGCCAUUGUUAUGGCCACCUAUUAAACAGGUAAUACAAGCAGCUGAUUUCUUUUGUUAAACAAGGCAAAUAUAUCAAAUUUGGCUUCAUUUUUGCAGAGAAGUGGCUGUUAGAUAAAACAAGAACACUUGAUUGCUCUAUGCAAGGUGCAUGAAAACAAGUCCGUGUUCCACCAGUGUGAAAGUGAAAGAUUCAACUUAAAUCUCAUGUGCUAGUAAUGUUUAGAUGGAUAUAAAACAGCCCCAGUAGUAGUGGGGCUUGCUAAUCAUAAUGAAUUUUAGCAGUAUAAAUUCAUUUGCACACUGAUACAAAUGCUGCAGUUUGAUUGGUUGAGCUUACUGUUUUGAUAUCGAACAGAUCAUAGAAGACUGUUUAAAGUGCUUUAAUGGAAUCGAGUAUUCCCUAGAAUACACUUGAGACAACGCCUUGUUCUAUCUAAAAAGGUGUUAUAUCGAUUACAAAAUCACGUGACACACUUGCGUUACUAUAUCUCUAACCUAGUGAUACGAUCUAUCGUUACAACCACCACCACCACCACCACCACCACCUUCCGGGCAUAAUUGCAUUUGGCAUUUUGGGAAAGUAAUCAAAUGUCGAACAAUGUUGUUUCUGCUCAAGAAGGACUGGUGAAGGAUCAUCAUUAUCAAUAUCAUCAAAAUAGAGCUGGUCAUCAUUAUCGUCAUCACCAU